UGCUGAUGUGUAUCUACUCGAUCUACCAACUUGUUCAAUAUUCUGCAAUUGAGCUUCAUACUGUGUGCAGUUUGUGGAAGAAUCUCCCAAGUUUCAGAGUAAAGUUCUGCUUUUCUUCUGAAGAUACUCUCCAGUAGAGGGCAACGAAUUCGGGCGUUUUGAUACUAUCAAGUAUUCAUUCAAUCAUGGAGGGAUACAAUUGGAGUUGCAAAACAUUCUUAUUGGCUUUGCUGCUGAUUAUUCCUGUUAUCAUUCAGAUCUCAGAAGGUAGAGACCCAGGAGGAAAUGGACGACCUGGUAGACGAUGCACCUGUAGAUUUUGUACGAAUCUAAGACAAUAAACGAGGAUACACAAAGAAAAACUGAUGCUAAGUUUGACUUCGACGUUUAUAACUUCAAUAAUAAGAGCCAAAAUAAUGAUCGUGAUUCCUUUGAUGGAGGUGACCUCGAAACAAUCCGUAAUUGCCCUGAGUUCAUAAAUCUGUGGGGAAGCCAGGAACUUGCAAAUCAAGUAUUGAAUGCCCUGAAAGGGGAAGUUGACAACACGAAUGGCAGGGUGACUAGAGAAAAUUUCAACACAGUGAUGGAAAAAUUCAAGAAGUCUGAAUCCAAAAACGCAAAUGGUGCAGAGCCUGACAAGGAUCCGGAUUCAAAAGAUAAAAAACGAAAACCGAAGGGACCAAAAAAGUAGGGGCUUCCGGGAAUGGAAUCAGAUGUCACCAAACUAUGACAAUGGUCACCAAUCAUACAAUCAUCCAAAAUUAAUUAUUGAGAAAAAAUAUUAGAAGUAGAUAGUAGUUGAAUUAGAUAACGUUUUUCUCUUCAAACAUUUAUGUAGCCUGCAUUAGUAGAAUUUGAAAUUAGUAAAAAGUAGCCUACUAGUGAUUUUGUUAGAUUAAUAAUCAUUGCAUGAAUAAAUUGAUUGAUUUUACAGUAUA